GAUGAACGCUGGCGGUGUGCCUAAUACAUGCAAGUCGAGCGAACAGACGAGGAGCUUACUCCUCUGACGUUAGCGGCGGACGGGUGAGUAACACGUGGAUAACCUACCUAUAAGACUGGGAUAACUUCGGGAAACCGGAGCUAAUACCGGAUAACAUGUUGAACCGCAUGGUUCAACAGUGAAAGACGGUCUUGCUGUCACUUAUAGAUGGAUCCGCGUCGCAUUAGCUAGUUGGUAAGGUAACGGCUUACCAAGGCAACGAUGCGUAGCCGACCUGAGAGGGUGAUCGGCCACACGGGAACUGGGACACGGUCCAGACGCCUACGGGAGGCAGCAGUAGGGAAUCUUCCGCAAUGGGCGAAAGCCUGACGGAGCAACGCCGCGGGAGUGAAGAAGGUCUUCGGAUCGUAAAACUCUGUUAUUAGGGAAGAACAAAUGUGUAAGUAACUAUGCCCGUCUUGACGGUACCUAAUCAGAAAGCCACGGCUAACUACGUG
rnacentral:rRNA from 1 species